rnacentral:rRNA from 1 species
GACGAACGCUGGCGGCGUGCUUAACACAUGCAAGUCGAACGGAAAGGCCCUGCUUGCAGGGUACUCGAGUGGCGAACGGGUGAGUAACACGUGGGUGAUCUGCCCUGCACUUCGGGAUAAGCUUGGGAAACUGGGUCUAAUACCGGAUAGGAGCCAUUUUUAGUGUGAUGGUUGGAAAGUUUUUUCGGUGUAGGAUGAGCUCGCGGCCUAUCAGCUUGUUGGUGGGGUAACGGCCUACCAAGGCGGCGACGGGUAGCCGGCCUGAGAGGGUGGACGGCCACAUUGGGACUGAGAUACGGCCCAGACUCCUACGGGAGGCAGCAGUGGGGAAUAUUGCACGAUGGGCGCAAGCCUGAUGCAGCGACGCCGCGUGGGGGAUGACGGCCUUCGGGUUGUAAACUCCUUUCGCUAGGGACGAAGCUUUUUGUGACGGUACCUAGAUAAGAAGCACCGGCUAACUACGU